GGAGGCAGCAGUGGGGAAUAUUGGACAAUGGGGGCAACCCUGAUCCAGCAAUGCCGCGUGAGUGAGGAAGGCCUUCGGGUUGUAAAGCUCUUUCGGCGGGGACGAUGAUGACGGUACCCGCAGAAGAAGCCCCGGCUAACUUCGUGCCAGCAGCCGCGGUAAUACGAAGGGGGCGAGCGUUGUUCGGAUUUACUGGGCGUAAAGGGCGCGCAGGCGGCUCUGUUUGUCAGGCGUGAAAGCCCCGGGCUCAACCUGGGAAUUGCGCUUGGGACGGCGGAGCUGGAGAUCGGGAGAGGAGCGUGGAAUUCCCAGUGUAGAGGUGAAAUUCGUAGAUAUUGGGAAGAACACCGGUGGCGAAGGCGGCGCUCUGGACCGAGACUGACGCUGAGGCGCGAAAGCGUGGGGAGCAAACAGGAUUAGAUACCCUGGUAGUCCACGCUGUAAACGAUGUGUGCUAGACGUUGGGGAGCCUAGCUCUUCGGUGUCGCAGCUAACGCUUUAAGCACACCGCCUGGGGAGUACGGCCGCAAGGUUAAAACUCAAAGGAAUUGACGG
rnacentral:rRNA from 1 species